rnacentral:rRNA from 1 species
ACACGAAGAACCUUACCUGGGUUUGACAUAUAGGUUGUAGGGAACUGAAAAGGGACCGACCUUCGGGAGCCUAUACAGGUGUUGCAUGGCUGUCGUCAGCUCGUGUCGUGAGAUGUUCGGUUAAGUCCGCUAACGAGCGCAACCCUCGUCGUAUGUUAUAUGUGUCAUACGAGACUGCCGGUAAAAAGCCGGAGGAAGGUGAGGAUGAUGUCAAGUCAGCAUGACCUUUAUAUCCAGGGCUACACACACGCUACAAUGGUCUGUACAAUGGGUAGCCAAGCCGCGAGGCGGAGCCAAUCCUGAAAGCAGGCCUCAGUUCAAAUUGCAGUCUGCAACUCGACUGCAUGAAGCCGGAGUUGCUAGUAACCGCAGGUCAGCAAUACUGCGGUGAAUACGUUCCCGGGUCUU